AUAAACGCUGGCGGCGCACAUAAGACAUGCAAGUCGAACGGAAGUCGUUAUACAAGGAGAGAAGAUUUAUCGGAUUGAAUUAUAUAACAAUGGCUUUAGUGGCGGACUGGUGAGUAACGCGUAAGAAAUCUACCUAUUAGAGGGGAACAACAAUGAGAAAUCAUUGCUAAUACCGCAUAUGCCAUAAACAUCGCAUGAUGAAAGUGGGAAAGGAGCAAUCCGCUGAUAGAUGAUCUUGCGUCUGAUUAGUUAGUUGGUGGGGUAAUGGCCUACCAAGACGACGAUCAGUAGCCGGACUGAGAGGUUGAACGGCCACAUUGGGACUGAGAUACGGCCCAGACUCCUACGGGAGGCAGCAGUCGGGAAUAUUGCGCAAUGGAGGAAACUCUGACGCAGUGACGCCGCGUGCAGGAAGAAGGUUUUCGGAUUGUAAACUGCUUUAGACAGGGAAGAGAAAGGACAGUACCUGUAGAAUAAGCUCCGGCUAACUACGUGCCAGCAGCCGCGGUAAUACGUAGGGAGCGAGCGUUAUCCGGAUUUAUUGGGUGUAAAGGGUGCGUAGACGGGAAUACAAGUUAGUUGUGAAAUACCUCGGCUUAACUGAGGAACUGCAACUAAAACUAUAUUUCUUGAGUGCAGGAGAGGUAAGUGGAAUUCCUAGUGUAGCGGUGAAAUGCGUAGAUAUUAGGAGGAACACCAGUGGCGAAGGCGACUUACUGGACUGAAACUGACGUUGAGGCACGAAAGUGUGGGGAGCAAACAGGAUUAGAUACCCUGGUAGUCCACACCGUAAACGAUGGAUACUAGGUGUAGGAGAUAUUAAGUCUUCUGUGCCGUCGCAAACGCAGUAAGUAUCCCACCUGGGGAGUACGGCCGCAAGGUUGAAACUCAAAGGAAUUGACGGGGGCCCGCACAAGCAGUGGAGUAUGUGGUUUAAUUCGAAGCAACGCGAAGAACCUUACCGAAACUUGACAUCCUGACAAUCCUGUUGUAAAGACGGGAGUGCCCCUUUUGGGGAGAUCAGAGACAGGUGGUGCAUGGUUGUCGUCAGCUCGUGUCGUGAGAUGUUGGGUUAAGUCCCGCAACGAGCGCAACCCCUGUUUCUAGUUGCCAGCAUGUAAAGAUGGGAACUCUAGAAAGACUGCCGUAGAUAAUACGGAGGAAGGUGGGGAUGACGUCAAAUCAUCAUGCCCUUUAUGUCCUGGGCUACACACGUACUACAAUGGCUGUAACAGAGGGAAGCGAACCAGUGAUGGUAAGCGAAACCCGAAAAGCAGUCACAGUUCGGAUUGAAGGCUGAAACUCGCCUUCAUGAAGCCGGAAUUGCUAGUAAUGGCAGGUCAGCAUACUGCCGUGAAUACGUUCCCGGGCCUUGUACACACCGCCCGUCACACCAUGAGAGUUGGGGAUACCCGAAGCCUGUGAGCCAACAGUUAAAUGGGGCAGCAGUCGAAGGUAGAAUCAAUGAUUGGGGUG
rnacentral:rRNA from 1 species